rnacentral:rRNA from 1 species
UACAGAGGGUGCAAGCGUUGUUCGGAAUUAUUGGGCGUAAAGCGCGUGUAGGCGGCUUUGCAAGUCGGGUGUGAAAUCCCUCAGCUUAACUGAGGAAGUGCGCCCGAAACUGCCGAGCUUGAGUACCGGAGAGGGUGGCGGAAUUCCCCAAGUAGAGGUGAAAUUCGUAGAUAUGGGGAGGAACACCGGUGGCGAAGGCGGCCACCUGGACGGAUACUGACGCUGAGACGCGAAAGCGUGGGGAGCGGACAGG